ensembl:lncRNA
GACCUCGUUGACAGAGAGAAGAGAGAACGUGCAAAAUGGAUUGCAAGCAGUUACUGUUGGGCGUAUCUCUACCUGAAAAUAUAGGAUCUUAGUGAUUGAUAGUUUGCAUUCAGCAGUCAUAAAAGUGAAGAGGUGCCCCCGGGGGGAAAAAAUGCUUAGGGACCAACGUCCAGGGACAUGAGGGGAUCAAAGGAUUUGCAGGUCUCCUAGGUCGAGAGGAUGGCCAGACGGGACCUCCAGGCAUCGCAGGAGCUGUCGGACAGACAGGAGAGAUCGGUCCCCAGCACCGGCUGUCAUAGAGGUGCUCAACCACAAGCAG